CUCUUGGAACCCAGUGGACUGAGGUCCAUUGAGCCCCACUGGUGGGUCACAGGAGGAUAUUCUUUCCAGAACACAGACUCAGGACAGCAGCCAAAACAGGAGUCUCAAGUUGAGGGGGCCUCUUGGAGAAGAGCUGGCACUUGUGCACUGAAUAGGACAGCUUGAGCAGUGGCCUCUGGGCAGGCUGAGAAGCUGUCUCACUGAUGUCAGCAUGUGUACCUGGCACUCGGUUGGAGACAGAGUUAAUCACAUCAAACACAGAGCAGGAAGAUAAUGCAGAGAUGGGUGCUCCCCAUUGGACUGAGGGAGUGGGACACAGUGAAGCUUUGCCAUUAUGUAUUCAUCCCCCAGCAGAUGC